CAACCCUCAAGCCCCCGCUUGGUGUUGGGUGCCGGCGCCGGCGCCUGCGAGUCCGCUCGCAGCAGCGCCCGCCGCCCCCGAAAUUGAUUGGCGGUCUCGUCGCGACCUCCCUUGCGUAGUAACAUACCACCUCGCAUGGCGGAGCGCGGCGCGGCCACGCCGUAAAACAACCCAAUUUCUCAAG
rnacentral:misc_RNA from 2 species